UCAAGAAGACAAAAAAGACCUCCAUCACCUCCAGGGGACAACUUAUCAGCAUAGAGGAAGAAAAGCUAAACAUGCUUCGGAGCUGUGAGCGAAGACGACUCUGAACUGUUGACGCUUGUUCCAUCUGUGGACAACAUGGACAUUUCCUGAGGGACGAUCUGGACAACCCAAAGAUCCAACGCCAAAACCAGUUGGACUGACAGGAACCCAGAGGAGAGAGACGGGGGAGGAUUUCACUGCAGCAACGCCGAGACCGAGUGGAGGAGAGGGGCGAAAAGGAAGGAACAACCUGAAUCCACAUCAACCACUGUGAAGGACGACCUGUCUCUAAUGUCCAUCUAAAUCAUGACUGUAAAUCUGAAACAGCAACAGAGUGAGCAGCAAAACUUCACUCUACCAAGAAUCAAGUACUUCAGCUUUUGACACCAAAGAGGUCAAUGUCCAGAGGAACAGCAAGUUUAAAUGUUUCUGAAAGACUCUCCACUCAAAGAACUAUUGCUGGUCCACUGGCGAGUGACGGAAACGGAGAGUGAAGAUUUACACUGUUCUGUUAUCCUUAAAUAUGCAUUUAAAAGAGAAAAUCAA